rnacentral:rRNA from 1 species
UACGAAUCGUCCAAACGUUGUUCGGAUUCACUGGGUUUAAAGGGCGCGUAGGCGGUGCGUUAAGUCGGCGGUGAAAUACUUCGGCUCAACCGGAGAAUUGCCGCUGAAACUAGCGUGCUCGAGGAAGGUAGAGGUGCGUGGAACUUCCGGUGGAGCGGUGAAAUGCGUUGAUAUCGGAAGGAACACCUGUGGCGAAAGCGAUGCACUGGACCUUUUCUGACGCUGAGGCGCGAAAGCCAGGGGAGCGAAC